rnacentral:lncRNA from 1 species
AACGUCCAUAUUCCUACACACGAAUUUGUCACUAUCCCACAUCAACAAAAUUUCCCCCAUAGCCCCUUUCGCAGGCAAACUUCCCACCCCACAUUCCUCUCUUUCCAUAAGCUGCAAAUGACAGCCUUGGUGAUGUUUUCCAUUUUAAUCUCUUGAAAACAGACCACCUCCGGUUUCUACCUUUUCAAACAGCCCUUAAUAACACCUGUUUUGCUAGCUUCAUUCAGCCCCCUCACAUUCCAAG